ensembl:lncRNA LINC02744 long intergenic non-protein coding RNA 2744
AGUUUUGGAGGAAUGGGAGAGGAGCUUUCCACUCCUCUGAGAGUCAUGUCGAGAGUCUGUCUUAGCCCUCGACCCCUCAGUCUUUGUAGAUCUCAUCCCAGAACCCCGAGGGAGAGGUAAUUGCUGAAGGAUUUUUGCUUCAAACAGGCUCUUGUUUGCAUCAAGUGUGGGGUGCAGCAAAGUGGACUCGGGACUGGCCGAUGUCUGGCCAGAAAUGCCAGGCAAGGGAAACAGUGACUCUAGUGGGGUCAGGAGAGGGGCAUCUGCUGGCCCAGGAGCGCAAGGCAGAGGGACUUCAUUGUCCCCCUUAUAGGUGAGGCGACUCUGAGGCAGGAGGUCCAAGUUUGCUGGACAAUGGCAGAAACAGAAUUCAAACACCUGUCUUCUAGGAGAAGUUCUGGUCUCUCCUCGGUGCUGCGGCUGCCCCGGGAAGAGUUUCCAGGAGCUGACAAGCAUUCAGAUGAGUAAAGAUGGGAUCGGAUUGAGAAAAGGAGAAGGGAGAGCAUAUUCGUUCUCUUUCCACCUCCCUCCCACAGCCUUUCAUGCUGAUCUCAUCUGACGAAGCUGCCUCCUCCUCCCUGGACUCUACAAGCCCCUGUCAUGGUCAGUGGCAAUGUUGUCCACAGUGGGUGGCCAGCCUUGAUCUAGCAGUAAAGGAUGGAUUCUGUUAUUUCAGUGAUGUGGGGCUCAGGGUAAUGAAAGUGAUCAUCAAAAAGCAAAAGUAAAGCUGUCCUCACAGGGUUAACAAGAAUUCUGGGCAGAAAUACGGCUAUAAUUAGGCAUUAAUCAGGCUGCACUUUAACCCACUUCCUUGUAACUGACAGACACUGUAGGACUAGAUACUGGCCGUUUGCAUCCCUAAUGUUCCUAUAGAUGGGAUUUCUGAUGUUAGAGCUAUAAGGCUUUUAAGACAGACAAGAUCUUUGACAUUAGAAUCAUAAGGCUCCUGUUUAAAAAUUGCUUAAGAUGUUUCUCAGAUCCUGAAUUCCAGCGAAACAGAUGAUACUAACAAGUUUGAAGACCCCCACAGAGGAAUGGAAUCAGUAUGAGAACACAGUUUCUUCAUCUCCCUGUCCCAGAACUUCACCCUGGACUCCUCGACCAAUCAACAAUCUCCACACUUCGGCCCACUCCAAAACUCCUAAAAUCCCAAGCUCCAAACUCCUCUGGGAGAUGGAUUUGAGGCUUCCUCCCGUUUCCUUGUGUGGAAGCCCUGUCAUUAAACCUCUUUCUCUGCUGCAA